rnacentral:rRNA from 1 species
UGCGUAGGCGGGUUUCUAAGUCAGAGGUGAAAGCCUGGAGCUCAACUCCAGAACUGCCUUUGAUACUGGAAGUCUUGAGUAUGGCAGAGGUGAGUGGAACUGCGAGUGUAGAGGUGAAAUUCGUAGAUAUUCGCAAGAACACCAGUGGCGAAGGCGGCUCACUGGGCCAUUACUGACGCUGAGGCACGGAAGGCGUGGGAGCAAACA